rnacentral:sRNA from 2 species
AAGGAUGAGAAGCUUCGACUAAGGUUCGAUUCGAACGCAGCGAGAAAGCGUUGCCGCAGGCAACGACCCGAAGGGCGAAGCGCGCAGCGCUGAGUCAUCCUUCCCCCACCACCA